rnacentral:lncRNA from 1 species
AUGAUUAAAUGACAUGUAUAAACCGUUUAUAAACUCAUUGGCCAGAUUAUUAGGUUAAUAACCUAUCUAUUACUGUGAACAGGGUACAUUCUGUACUUCCUCUGAUCCUAUCAUGUACUUCUCAGGGGUGGAGCUGGAUUAUGAAGAUAUGAAGAAGUCAUCAAACUCUUUUUGCUGUUUUGCUAACCCAGAUGACAAGUCUACUACAUAUACGACCUAUACGACCUUAUCUUUCUGGGAGAUCAAAAUGAAAGCUGAAUACCUGUACUCCAUCAAACUCCAACACAUCAGGGAAUACACCAUGACAGAUGGGGAGGAGAGAGGACUUACCUUAAUAAAAAGACAGAAGACGACGCAGGAGGACCAGGAUAAUAAGCAUAGAGAAUCCCUAUGCUUAUUUAAUAUCACUGACAUUAUAGAUAUUACACCUGUGUUAAUCAAUCAGAUCUGUAUUGACCUCAAAAUGGGAGGAGGACUUAAUGCAUUAAAGAAUAGACUGACCACACUGAAGACGAGCCUGGAGGGCCAGCUCUCCCAGAUCUGGAUUGACCUCCAAAGGCAACAACUUACUGCAUUAAAGAAUAGACUGACCAUACUGAAUACGAGCCUGGAAGGCCAGCUCUCCCAGAUCUGGAUUGACCCCAAAAUGGUAGAACAACUUGCUGCAUUAAUGAAUACACUGAACACACUGAAGAUGAGGCUGGAGGGCCAGGUACUGAACCCCUCAUUACUUUAA